rnacentral:lncRNA from 1 species
ACACAGAGAAGAUGAAGAGUGGACACUAGGGGACAAGGAACAAGGAUAAAAUCACAAGUCUUAGAGACAUCUAUCUGGCUCUACAAUGGCACCCCAGAAAGGCAGGGAGUGGUGAAUAAUUUAACAAUGGUACAGAAAAGCAUUUUGCACUUCAACAAAGCACAUAAAAAUGGAAUAACCUUUAGUUCAAAACAAAUUUCAUCUUAAAGCCAAUUCUCCUUAUUUCUUCUUACACUUUCAAAGCUGACUCCGCAAAACAAAAGCUGGAGGCUCUACUGUAGCUACUGAUCUCGGAGUUUCCAUGAAGCUAUUAUUGCAACCUGCGGUCCUGCAAUCAUUAGGGAUGACCAUCUCAGUGACAACAGGAGACUCAGAGGGCUAAGCAAAGUGGUGUGCACAUGAUACUGGAGACUGGAGAACCUGGGCAUGACAUUGCUCACCUGGGCACAGUGGCUGGGAACUCAGACUCUGUCUUUAACCAAUUGCAUUAAUGUUCUCUUCAGUCCACUCAUGGCUUUAGGACCUUGCUUCUGGACAUGGAGAAAGAUCAUCAACUUUAACUAUUCUUAUAACUUUAGAUAACAACAAGGAAGUUAUUUCUCCCAAAGAUGGAGCUGUCAUUCCUGCAGCUCAGCCUACUUCCACUCAGGCUCUUCUGGAGACAACUCUCUCAGAGGAAUAGAUUAAUGAGAAGCAGGGGAGCUAUCACAUGGCAUAUCACCUGCACCUUUGUGUGAGUCUUCAGGGAACUCAGAUUCUCUUCAGAAAGGCUUAUGUGACCUCUUUUAAAACACAAUGCAGGACAAAGAAAUAAACUUCUUUAAAAUUUUGAAUUAA